GUAGGUGGCAAGCGUUGUCCGGAAUUAUUGGGCGUAAAGCGCGCGCAGGCGGUUCUUUAAGUCUGAUGUGAAAGCCCACGGCUCAACCGUGGAGGGUCAUUGGAAACUGGAGAGCUUGAGUACAGAAGAGGAAAGCGGAAUUCCACGUGUAGCGGUGAAAUGCGUAGAGAUGUGGAGGAACACCAGUGGCGAAGGCGGCUUUCUGGUCUGUAACUGACGCUGAGGCGCGAAAGCGUGGGGAGCAAACAGGAUUAGAUACCCUGGUAGUCCACGCCGUAAACGAUGAGUGCUAAGUGUUAGGGGGGUUUUCCGCCCCCCUUAGUGCUGCAGCUAACGCAUUAAGCACUCCGCCUGGGAGUACGGCCGCAAGGCUG
rnacentral:rRNA from 1 species